AUACGUAGGUCCCGAGCGUUGUCCGGAUUUAUUGGGCGUAAAGCGAGCGCAGGCGGUUUAAUAAGUCUGAAGUUAAAGGCAGUGGCUUAACCAUUGUUCGCUUUGGAAACUGUUAGACUUGAGUGCAGAGGGGGAGAGUGGAAUUCCAUGUGUAGCGGUGAAAUGCGUAGAUAUAUGGAGGAACACCGGUGGCGAAAGCGGCUCUCUGGUCUGUAACUGACGCUGAGGCUCGAAAGCGUGGGGAGCGAACAGGAUUAGAUACCCUGGUAGUCCACGCCGUAAACGAUGAGUGCUAGGUGUUAGGCCCUUUCCGGGGCUUAGUGCCGCAGCUAACGCAUUAAGCACUCCGCCUGGGGAGUACGACCGCAAGGUUGAA
rnacentral:rRNA from 1 species